UACAGAGGGUGCAAGCGUUAAUCGGAAUUACUGGGCGUAAAGCGUGCGUAGACGGUUAUGUAAGUCGGGUGUGAAAGCCCCGGGCUCAACCUGGGAAUGCCAUUCGAGACUGCAUAGCUAGGGUGCGGGAGAGGGAAGCGGAAUUUCCGGUGUAGCGGUGAAAUGCGUAGAUAUCGGGAGGAACACCAGUGGCGAAAGCGGCUUCCUGGACCAGCACCGACGUUCAGGCACGAAAGCGUGGGGAGCAAACAGG
rnacentral:rRNA from 1 species